AUGCUCACUUGAGCAGCACAUAUACCAAAACUGGAACAUACAGAAAAGAUUGGCAUGGCCCUGCGAAGAUUGGCACACAAAUUCUUGAAGUGUUCCAUAUUUUU